GAUGAACGCUAGCUACAGGCUUAACACAUGCAAGUCGAGGGGAAACGAUAUUGGAAGCUUGCUUCUGAUAGGCGUCGACCGGCGCACGGGUGAGUAACGCGUAUCCAACCUGCCCAUCACUUGGGGAUAACCUUGUGAAAGUAAGACUAAUACCCAAUGACGUCUCUAGAAGACAUCUGAAAGAGAUUAAAGAUUUAUCGGUGAUGGAUGGGGAUGCGUCUGAUUAGCUUGUUGGCGGGGUAACGGCCCACCAAGGCGACGAUCAGUAGGGGUUCUGAGAGGAAGGUCCCCCCACAUUGGAACUGAGACACGGUCCAAAACUCCUACGGGAGGCAGCAGUGAGGAAUAUUUGGGUCAAAUGGGACGAGAGUCUGAACCAGCCAAGUAGCGUGCAGGAUGACGGCCCUAUGGGUUGUAAACUGCUUUUAUAAGGGAAUAAAGUGGGAGUCGUGACUCUUUUUGCAUGUACCUUAUGAAUAAGGACCGGCUAAUUCCGUGCCAGCAG
rnacentral:rRNA from 1 species